rnacentral:tmRNA from 1 species
GCGUCGGCCCGCCCUUGAAAAGCCGGGCAUCCCCCCCCAUAAUGGUAUGUAUGGUUGUAACUCCGGCAAUCUGGAGGCGUCUUGGACAGGGGUUCGAUUCCCCUCACCUCCACCUAAGGGCAUAUGAGUGCGUUUAGGUGGGGGUGCACUGGUUUCGACAGGGCGGACGAAGGUGAGCAGGCAACCCGAGAGGCGACGGACGUAAUCCGCGCAAAUCCAUAAACGCCAACGAUGAGCGUUUCGCACUGGCCGCUUAAGGCCGAUGCCGAGGCUGCUUGAGCCUUGUAACCAAAGAAAAGCCGGCGGGGACUUCGGUCCCCGUCGUCA